rnacentral:tRNA from 1 species
AUUACUUUGGCAGAAUAGUGCUUUAAACUUAGGAUUUAAAUAUAUAUUAAUUUGAGUUAAUAUAAGUAAUA